rnacentral:rRNA from 1 species
UACGUAAGUGGCGAGCGUUAUCCGGAAUUACUGGGCGUAAAGCGUGCGUAGGCGGUUUAGUGUGUGGGAAUUGAAAGCCCGGGGCUCAACUCCGGAUCCGGUUCCCAAACUGCUAGACUUGAGCGUAUCAGAGGACAGCGGAAUUCCCGGUGUAGCGGUAAUAUGCGUAGAUAUCGGGAGGAACACCAGUGGCGAAGGCGACUUCCUGGCCUGUUCUUGACGCUGAGGCGCGAAAGCUAGGGGAGCAAACGGG